CCCUUAGAUGUUCUGGGCCGCACGCGCGCUACACUGACGAAUGCAACGAGCUUAUAACCUUGGCCGAAAGGUCUGGGUAAUCUCCAAAUUUCGUCGUGAUGGGGAUAGAUUAUUGCAAUUAUUAAUCUUCAACGAGGAAUGCCUAGUAAGCGCAAGUCAUCAGCUUGCGUUGAUUACGUCCCUGCCCUUUGUACACACCGCCCGUCGCACCUACCGAUUGAAUGGUCCGGUGAAUCUUUAGGACUGUGGCUGAGGCCUUGCCUUGUGCGGGUCUGGCCGUGGGAAUUUAGUUAAACCUUACCAUUUAGAGGAAGGUGAAGUCGUAACA
rnacentral:rRNA from 1 species